rnacentral:rRNA from 1 species
GAGUUUGAUCCUGGCUCAGGAUGAACGCUAGCGGCAGGCUUAAUACAUGCAAGUCGAGGGGCAGCACGAAUAGCAAUAUUUGGUGGCGACCGGCGCACGGGUGCGUAACACGUAUACAAUCUACCUUAAACAGGGGGAUAGCCUUUCGAAAGAGAGAUUAAUACCCCGUAAUAAAUUGAAUGGCAUCAUUUGAUUUUGAAAGCUCCGGCGGUUUAAGAUGAGUAUGCGUCUGAUUAGCUAGUAGGUGAGGUAACGGCUCACCUAGGCUACGAUCAGUAGGGGAUCUGAGAGGACUAACCCCCACACUGGUACUGAGACACGGACCAGACUCCUACGGGAGGCAGCAGUAAGGAAUAUUGGUCAAUGGAGGCAACUCUGAACCAGCCAUGCCGCGUGCAGGAUGAAGGCCCUAUGGGUCGUAAACUGCUUUUAUACCAGAGAAAACCUCAGUACGUGUACUGAGCUGAUAGUAUGGUAAGAAUAAGCAUCGGCUAACUUCGUGCCAGCAGCCGCGGUAAGACGAAGGAUGCAAGCGUUAUCCGGAUUCAUUGGGUUUAAAGGGUGCGUAGGCGGACUGGUAAGUCAGUGGUGAAAUCUCUUUGCUUAACAAAGAAACUGCCAUUGAUACUGCUAGUCUAGAGUAUAGAUGACGUUGGCGGAAUAUGACAUGUAGUGGUGAAAUACUUAGAUAUGUCAUAGAACACCGAUUGCGAAGGCAGCUAACGAAACUAUAACUGACGCUGAGGCACGAAAGUGCGGGGAUCAAACAGGAUUAGAUACCCUGUAGUCCGCACCGUAAACGAUGAUUACUCGUUGUUGG